GGAGACGCAGUUCAAGGGUGAUACACAGUAUCGGCAAGGCAGAGGAAUGAGAAAGCAACUACAAAACAUUGUUUAUUGGAUAAUAAGAUAUAAAUAAGUGGGAGAAACAGAACAAACGGUGUGUUCUUUUUUUGGUGUGAGAAAGCACAACCAAACAGAAUAGAGCAAAAUGAAUAGACAAAAAUCUGAGGGCAGGUCAAAGCGUAGCCGUCCUUAAGGCAGACAGGCAUGUGCAAUAUGCAACACAAAACCAAAAUAAUUAAAAUUCUCACACGUUACAGGUAGCCAACAAAGCACACAAACUACUAAAUCAAUUUUAAUAUUUAUCUGUCUCUCUGCACAUGCCUCAGUUUCGACCCCAACAGCACUUUUUUUCUUCCCUGGCUGACCAUUACUCACCAGCUCUCUCACCCUUGGUCUCUGGUUCGGUUUCCUGUUUUGGUUCCGGUAUAGCCUCAGGAACCGGUUCCGCUUCAGCUUUGGGGAUUGAUUCGGUUUCCAUUUCAUCGCUGGGGUUUGAUGAUUCGGUUUGGAUUUCAUCUUCAGGGUUCCUUUCAGGUUCAGGUUCAGGUUCUGCUUCAGCCUCGGGGUUUGGUUGGGAUUCGGUCUUAUCAUGACGGAAUUUAACAACAAUGCAAGUGAUGUUGUCUGCGCUGCCACGAGCGAAGGCAGUGUCGGUUAACUUGCGGGCAGCUGUCACAGGCUCCUCCUCACUCUGAGUAAGGGAUACCGCAUCCUGAAUCCAAAGCGGAGAAUAUAACACAUUCAAAACUCGUCAACAAUCCAACAACAGGUACAGGGAGGAGUUUAUAUGUGAGUCAUACCUCAUUUGGUACCACAUCCCAUAAACCGUCGCUUGCGAGAACAAGAAACUCGGCCUCGUGAUCAAUCUCUAGAUCCUGAAUAAAUAAACAUAGACAAGUGUGUUCACAAAAACUCAACACUCAAGGAUUACACAUGGGUUGACACUACGGAGACUAGGAGAACAAACAUAACACCCUCGGGGGAUAGCAUUAUGCUGGAGUUAGAAGCGGUUACUUGAAUCUCGGGUUCAGCAAUAACGAAUUGCUUCAGCAUUCUGUUUCCAAAGGCCCGGGACAUUGCCAGGACUCCACCUACCCUCCAUGUUCCUGACAAGACAAGGCAAAUCCAGAUGAUAUUACUUCAAAACUCAGGCUGACAAAGAGAUCUAGGGGAAGAUAUUAAAAGGGCAGGCCUCAAGACUACUAGUUCAGUCCCUGACAGUGAUUGUUUAAAGCGUGAAUAACCGGAGAUAUAGAAUGCCUCCAUAAGAAAAUGGUUUGUGGGUCAGUGUUCCCUCGAACUUAGUAACAGUAUUAGACCUAAAAGCAGAGAGAAAAACCCAGCAAUGACAUUGUAUUAUUGAAAUUCGUGAAGGAAUUAUCAAGCAUUUUGAGUAGCUAGUGAUCUAACUGUAACUCAGAAUGGAAGGCUCUACAAUCUAGCUAUGUCAUGUUCAGAAGCAAGCAACCCAUUAGGGGGACACAAGAGAGAGGGAUGGUUUCUUAUAAUAUCAGAUUACCUGCCCACAUGAUAACACCACCAGCGCUUUCAAUUCGCUUUCUUUCAUCGCUUCUGUUUGGCUUAUGGUCAUCUGAUAGUGCGAUCGCUGCACAACAUAAAAAACUUAAGGCUUGUGAUCAGAAAACAACGAAGCCUUGUGACCAAUCAUAAGAUUUUAUUCAUUAUUUACUCAAGGCUAAUGUUCUCCGAGGAAUUGCAUGAUUCCAUUUCCCAAACUCAUGUUUUGACAAGCUCUCAAAUUAUGUUUAAAAUGAUAUGCCUCAUUGUUUUAGAUCAGAAUGAAAGACUGACCUUUCCCAGCUUUAGAAACUAUCGUUCGUGAGUCUCCAACAUUUGCAACAUAUAAAUGGUUCCCCACCAAGACAGCAGCAGAUGCUGUGGAGCCAUCAUCUCUGUAAGUAUCCUUUUCCGACUCAAGGAAUGCUACAUCAGUUUGUUUGUAUGUCUCACCUGCGAAAUUCAUCAAGUUAGAAGGUGAACCGAUGACCUGAGACAAGCAGUAUGAGCUCAUACUUCUGAGAAUUACAACAAAAUUUUAUGUCUAGAGAUAUGGAACGCACUUAGUGCCAGCUUGGUGUCUGUCAGAAAUUGUGGAUGAGUCAUAAGAUUGCUAAAGAGGUGUUUCUUCAGGUACUCAGCAGCACGUGAACCACCAUGACCUGUGAUGAUUAAGGCUUCAGAAAUUCGAGGAGGGCAACUUAAGAUCAAAUCAACAAUAUAUUACAUAUAUGCUUUCUGCUUCUGGGUAUACUAUGACGCAGAUUGAGAGUUCAGUGCAGACAUUAAUUUCCUAAACAGUCUAAUAGAAAACCAAGAAGCAGCAGUAAGGAUGUAUAAAUACAGACUCUAAUUAAGGCAGAUAGUAGGCAUAGCACAUACGGCAUGGCCAGUUCUAUGUAGAACGAAGAACCUAAAUUAGCAAAUGAAGCUGGACAAUGCUUCAGCUCAGCCAUUUCUACAUUGAGAUGGAUACGAUGGUGAUACGGCAAGUUGAAAAAAACCAGACUACUUUCAACACAGAUCAAAUAUCUUACACAGUUCAACGCUAACACUUAUUUUUCGAUAUACCAGAAGAAAAGAAAGGUACAAUAUAGAAACUAACCAUCAAAUAUUCCAAACAUGCAAACUGUUUGGCCUUCCAUCUUAAAGGCUUUGACAUCGUAGAAGUCUUCCAUGGUAGACCUUUUCCCUCUGAAACUACAGUACCCACAGCUCAAGCUUCCAUCAUCACUGUCAUCACACAUAACCCUUAUUAAGUACUACUAAAAAAAACAAAUAUAAAACAUUGGUCCAAAGCCACAUUGCCUACACAACAGUAACGUGAACUCACUUUUUCCAGCCACCACCAAUGUACCCGCCGUCAUCAACUUUCUCCUUCGGGAUAUCAAACAUCUCAACUCGUUUCUCUCCGGUAGAAGAAUCAACCAUCAUCAUCUUUGCUGCAGUGGUUCUAAACCCGAAACCAACACUCAACGUCUUAUUAGUAAGGUUAAGCUGAUGUCUUCCUUGAGCAAACACCCCAAUACGAGUACGACCAGCCUGAACAAUGAGACUCCUUACGAGACUGCUGCAUACCAUCAGGCAGGUCCAAUGUAGAAGCUGCGCAACAAACAAACAAACAAACAAAAAUUGAAAUAAUCUGUCAUUACACUCAUUAGUUAUAAAGUAUAUCCCCAGAGAUACGAGAUCAUCGUCAAGGUAUUAGAUAUCAGAUCCCUACCACAAAAAUCAAUCCGAAUCUAAACGAAUUCGACUAGCCAAUCAUUGAACAGUGCCGAUCCAAAUCUUAGUUCCUAAACAAUCCGAUUCAACAAAUCUGAACGAGCGACACGGAUCAAAGUAGAGGAAAACUAACAGGUACGAAAAAAACUCAAAUCAAAUCAAAUCCAAUCAACGGAUCCUCAGAGCUGUGACAAAGAAUCGAAUCAGAUCGGAGAGGACGCACCACGGAUCGGAAUCUGAGAGAUGGAAGGAACGAAUUGAUUGCACGAAUCAGCUUUUGGGAGCUUCCAUGGAAUCUGAGAGAAUCCAAGAGAGGAGGAGAUAGAUAGAUAGAUAGAUAGCACCGAACAGAAGCGGCGACGUGGCACUAGUACUCAUGCAUUUUAGAUUUUUAUUUAGUUAGUUACUAGUUUUUUUUUAAGGAUUCUUUUUUCAUUGGAUUAACCUCACUUUAUAUUAAUCAACUUUCUAAUCUAAUUCCUAACAAAUCGUCUUUUUCAUUUUAUUGUUUACAAUAAUUUUCAAAAAUCAGAAUAUCAUAAGAUAUGGAACUAAUACCUUUAAGAUGUUAGAUCUCUCUUUUGUUUUAUAAAUGAAAGAACACAAUAAUUUCAAAGAAUUAAACAUUGAAAAGAAAGUAUUUCAACUUCUAAAAUGUGUAAUAUUUGAUUUCACACUAGUGUUGUUCUUCAUGGUGAAUAUUGAGUUAUCUACCUACAUUAUAGUUUUCAUGCCCUUCUCAAAACCAUUUCUAUUUGCAUUCAAACUCGUCAUCUUGCUAGCAACUUAGCAAGCAUCCGGCACCAAAUCUGUGGGAAAGUAUUAACACAAACCCAACGCAAGUCCAUUUUUUUUUUGAUCAAACACAAGUCCAUUGUCUAAGCCCACGUAUUUGCAUCUGAUGUCUUCCAUGAGCAAACACCAUCACACUGUCAUUACACAUAACCUUUAUUCGAGAUUUUCUAGUGGUCAGAACAUAAUAGUCAGAUAAUACUACAACAUUAUUGGGUUCUUAGUCUAAUCACAUACAAAUUUAUUGAUAAGAAUUCCCAUAACGACAUGGGACCUCUUCUCCUUCUAUAAGCAUUUCCAAUGAAUUAAGAGGAAGACCAAUUAACUCUAUUGUCUUUUCCCAAACUUUGCUCGAUGUUUCUACAUUGUGAGCUUCUUCUGAAGAAUUUGUUGGUUGACAACUUUGUGAUAUGAAUGCGCAAACGGAUUUUUUAUCGGUUUUCAACUUUUCACAGUAUAUUUGAAUCUGAGAAUCUGUGGCUGAGAAAACUGAGCUUCUACAACCUUCUUGUGGUGAAUAGCUGAUAUAAGGCAAGGCAGAGUAACUCACAUCAUCAUGGUGUUUUUGUGAGUUGUGACAAGAAAGCAAUAUAACGACGAAUCACUUAAGCGCAACUUCUCUAGACAGUUAGGAAUGAUCAAUAUGUUAAUAGUAUAGAAAUAUACCUGUGUUUUGGAAUAUUAAUCUUAUGUUACCUUUUUUUGACACGAAUCUUAUGUUACCUAAAAAACAAGAAUCUGGUAGUAAUAAAUUAAGAAAUGAAUUCCUUCAUUUCAGUCCAAUAAACAAUAUAGUGUAUAUAAAAAAAGUAUAUGUCAGUUCAGUCCAAAUCCCUCUGAUUCUCGUACAUAAACAUUAGUCCCAACUAAUCAUCUCGAAAAAAAACUCUUUGAGAAAAAUCAUCCAAAACAAUGUACUCUUUCAUCGUCUGUAUUAAAACGCCUCCUUUUAAUCCGUGUCUUAGCCAUACAACUUCUCCUUAUAAGCAGUGAAUUAUCUUUAAACACGACCAAUGCGUAUGUAAACCACAAAUGCUUGGUUAGUCAAGGAAAAUACAAGCCGGGAAGUAAGUACGAGGAACUUUUAAAUACUACCAUCGGAAUCUUAUAUGUGGACAGUAGAGAUAAUAAAGGUUUCACCCUGUUCGGCGGUUCUACUUUAUCCGCUCUACUCCAGUGCCGCGGCGACUCCUAAAAACCCAAAGUGCCACGACUGCUUUGCUACUGCCCUAGCUGCGGUCAACAGCAUUGUACUCUGUGGGGGAGACGCAGUUCAAGGGUGAUACACAGUAUCGGCAAGGCAGAGGAAUGAGAAAGCAACUACAAAACAUUGUUUAUUGGAUAAUAAGAUAUAAAUAAGUGGGAGAAACAGAACAAACGGUGUGUUCUUUUUUUGGUGUGAGAAAGCACAACCAAACAGAAUAGAGCAAAAUGAAUAGACAAAAAUCUGAGGGCAGGUCAAAGCGUAGCCGUCCUUAAGGCAGACAGGCAUGUGCAAUAUGCAACACAAAACCAAAAUAAUUAAAAUUCUCACACGUUACAGGUAGCCAACAAAGCACACAAACUACUAAAUCAAUUUUAAUAUUUAUCUGUCUCUCUGCACAUGCCUCAGUUUCGACCCCAACAGCAUCUUUUUUUUCUCCCCUGGCUGACCAUUACUCACCAGCUCUCUCACCCUUGGUCUCUGGUUCGGUUUCCUGUUUUGGUUCCGGUAUAGCCUCAGGAACCGGUUCCGCUUCAGCUUUGGGGAUUGAUUCGGUUUCCAUUUCAUCGCUGGGGUUUGAUGAUUCGGUUUGGAUUUCAUCUUCAGGGUUCCUUUCAGGUUCAGGUUCAGGUUCUGCUUCAGCCUCGGGGUUUGGUUGGGAUUCGGUCUUAUCAUGACGGAAUUUAACAACAAUGCAAGUGAUGUUGUCUGCGCUGCCACGAGCGAAGGCAGUGUCGGUUAACUUGCGGGCAGCUGUCACAGGCUCCUCCUCACUCUGA
rnacentral:lncRNA from 1 species